rnacentral:rRNA from 1 species
UACGUAGGUGGCGGGCGUUAUCCGGAUUUAUUGGGCGUAAAGGGUGCGCAGACGGUUUAUUAAGUCUAAGAUGAAAGCCCGGAGCUUAACUCCGGUUUGUUUUAGAAACUGAUAGACUCGAGUAUGGUAGAGGCAAAUGGAAUUCCUAGUGUAGUGGUAAAAUGCGUAGAUAUUAGGAGGAACACCAGUGGCGAAGGCGAUUUGCUGGGCCAUUACUGACGUUCAUGCACGAAAGCGUGGGGAGCAAAUA